rnacentral:rRNA from 1 species
UAGGGAAUAUUGGACAAUGGCUGAAAAGCUGAUCCAGCCAUCCCGCGUGAAGGCAGAAGGUCCUAUGGAUUGUAAACUUCUUUUCUCUGGGAAGAAAAGGCGGGUUUCUACCUGCUCUGACGGUACCAGAGGAAUAAGCACCGGCUAACUCCGUGCCAGCAGCCGCGGUAAUACGGAGGGUGCAAGCGUUAUCCGGAUUCACUGGGUUUAAAGGGUGCGUAGGCGGGCUUGUAAGUCAGUGGUGAAAGCCCGGGGCUCAACUCCGGAACUGCCAUUGAUACUGCAGGCCUUGAGUACGGUUGAGGUGGGCGGAAUACAUCAUGUAGAGGUGAAAUUCUUAGAUAUGAUGUAGAACACCGAUUGCGAAGGCAGCUCACUAAAGCGUAACUGACGCUGAGGCACGAAAGCAUGGGGAUCAAACAGG